rnacentral:sRNA from 1 species
AAAUUUCGAUGCUGGAGAAGUGUUUGAAAAGGCAU